UAGUGAAGUUAACACAUUAAGUAUCUCGCCUGGGUAGUACAUUCGCAAGAAUGAAACUCAAACGGAAUUGACGGGGACCCGCACAAGUGGUGGAGCAUGUUGCUUAAUUCGACGGUACACGAAAAACCUUACCUAGACUUGACAUCCUUGGCAAAGUUAUGGAAACAUAAUGGAGGUUAACCGAGUGACAGGUGGUGCAUGGUUGUCGUCAGCUCGUGUCGUGAGAUGUUGGGUUAAGUCCCGCAACGAGCGCAACCCUUAUCGUUAGUUACAUUGUUUAACGAGACUGCUAAUGUAAAUUGGAGGAAGGAAGGGAUGACGUCAAAUCAUCAUGCCCCUUAUGUCUAGGGCUGCAAACGUGCUACAAUGGCCAAUACAAACAGUAGCCAACUUGUAAAAGUGAGCAAAUCUGAAAAGUUGGUCUCAGUUCGGAUUGAGGGCUGCAAUUCGUCCUCAUGAAGCUGGAAUCACUAGUAAUCGCGAAUCAGCUAUGUCGCGGUGAAUACGUUCUCGGGUCUUGUACACACCGCCCGUC
rnacentral:rRNA from 1 species